rnacentral:rRNA from 1 species
UACAGAGGGUGCAAGCGUUGUUCGGAAUUACUGGGCGUAAAGCGCGCGCAGGCGGUUUUUCAAGUCAGUGGUGAAAGCCCGGAGCUCAACUCCGGAACUGCCAUUGAAACUGUGAAACUUGAGGAUGAGAGAGGUGAGUGGAAUUCCCAGUGUAGAGGUGGAAUUCGUAGAUAUUGGGAAGAACACCGGUGGCGAAGGCGGCUCACUGGCUCAUUUCUGACGCUCAGGCGCGACAGCGUGGGGAUCAAACAGG